GAUCCUGGCUCAGGAUGAACGCUGGCGGCGUGCUUAACACAUGCAAGUCGAGCGAAGCACUUAAGUUUGAUUCUUCGGAUGAAGACUUUUGUGACUGAGCGGCGGACGGGUGAGUAACGCGUGAGGAACCUGCCUCAAAGAGGGGGACAACAGUUGGAAACGACUGCUAAUACCGCAUAAGCCCACAGCUCGGCAUCGAGCAGAGGGAAAAGGAGCAAUCCG
rnacentral:rRNA from 1 species